GAUGAACGCUGGCGGCGUGCCUAAUACAUGCAAGUCGAGCGAACAGACGAGGAGCUUGCUCCUCUGACGUUAGCGGCGGACGGGUGAGUAACACGUGGAUAACCUACCUAUAAGACUGAGAUAACUUCGGGAAACCGGAGCUAAUACCGGAUAAUAUAUUGAACCGCAUGGUUCAAUAGUGAAAUACGGUUUUGCUGUCACUUAUAGAUGGAUCCGCGCCGCAUUAGCUAGUUGGUAAGGUAACGGCUUACCAAGGCAACGAUGCGUAGCCGACCUGAGAGGGGGAUCGGCCACACUGGAACUGAGCCACGGUCCAGACUCCUACGGGAGGCAGCAGUAGGGAAUCUUCCGCAAUGGGCGAAAGCUUGACGGAGCAACGCCGCGUGAGUGAUGAAGGUCUUCGGAUCGUAAAACUCUGUUAUUAGGGAAGAACAAAUGUGUAAGUAACUAUGCACGUCUUGACGGUACCUAAUCAGAAAGCCACGGCUAACUACGUG
rnacentral:rRNA from 1 species